UUUCAGUUUGGUGUUAGCCAAUACUUGUGGUGGUUGUGUUCCUGGUCCCCUGCUCCGACGGUCAGUCGCGUGUGUGUGUGUGACUCCCACAGAACUUUUUAAAAGGAAAAGCUCUUUUUAUCAUUAUUUAUUCCGCGAUAGAAGAACGAAGGUUUGUUGACAACCACACCAUUUAGGGCAAGAAAAAUUCUCGUACUGGAAACUGGGACAGGAAUUCUAAAAUCCAGAAUUAAGACACCGGAAGAAAAGUGUAUUGUUCCUAGACAGUCUUUUACAUUAUGUCUGUAGAUCGCAUAAAAAUUUAAGUUAUCCUAGAUGCAAGAUUGAUCUAACGUGGAGAACUUGAGUAGCGAGUGAUCAGUAUUCAGUGAAUCGGUGAUCCAACCGAGUGCAGGAAAGGAAACGCCGUAUGUGCCUUGAUUUUUAGACGUUUAGACUUCCGUUACUGAAACGUUAACCAUAAAAGCUGUUUUGUAUGAUAGUUUAAAGAGAGUUUGGUCUACAUUGCUUUUUAAAUUUUUCGAACUUCAUCUUGAUACCAGAAAUUUAAGUCCUCGAAAGGAACUUGGGAAUGACCUUCUUUUAUCAGUUUUUAAAGCUUUUAAACGUGAAUCGUUACCCGAGCUAUUAUUAGAUAAGUGUACGAAACAAAUAUCGAAAUAAGCAACGUUUUACUUGUGAAAACUAAACUUACGGUGGAAGAAGAAUAAGAGAAAGCGAGAGAGAAUAAUAGGAAGGGGACGUGAGUAGCACUUCAAGCAACUCACUGGCUUAGUGCAGAUUCUUCUUCCUCUGUCAGUACAGGAACCAUGCUCACUUCUCCUUCCUUCCUGUUAGACGAGGGACGAGCCGGCGCCACUGCCAUGGACGUUGGUACUACCGUCACGUCCUCUCAGGUGCCUGUCUCAUUGGCCAUGUCGAGCAUGAACAGUGGAGGAGGGCACCACCAGUAUCAGCAGCAGCAGCAGCAGCAACAACAGCAACAGCUCCAACAGCAGCAGCAACAGCAGCAGCAGCAGCAGCAACAGCAACAUCAUCAUCAGCAACAACAACAGCAACAGCAGCAGCAGCAGCAGCAACAUCAACAUCAACAACACCAGGCCGUCCAUAUUCAUACCAGUACCCGGGGUCCCUCAUCUAUGAUGUGCGCGACUCCAACUCAACCUCACCAUCACACGCAUCACCUGAGUGGAACACCUCACAUGCAGCCACCCACCCAUCAGAUGGGAGGUGCAAGUGGAGGUAGCUACAGCAGUGUCCCCCGUCUACACCAUUGCAAUGUGCACUCCUUUUUGUGUUCUAACCCUCCCCUCCAUCAUCAAUACCAGAUGAAUGGAGGUUGCCUUGGUCCCCAACAUCAUUAUGGCCCAAUGGUUGCACCAAGUCACCAUACAGCUACGCCACUUCUGACUCCCGCAGGCCCACCUCAUUUGAUGACCACCACCCCACAGCCACCUCAUACCCACACCUCUAUCUAUGGGCAGGCACCAAUGGGAGUGGCUCCCCCACAAGCCGUCCCAACUCACCUCACUGCCGUUCCUGGGCAACUUUCGGCAGCGCCUCAAAGUUUAGGAGUGGGUGUUCCUCCUCAGCUACCCCCACAGCACCAUCAUCAUGCACAUCAACAGCCCACUCCGCCUCUUGUUGCAUCUUUUCCUGCCCACACACAUCUACAUCAACUUCAUCAUUUACAUGCUAGCGGCGGAAGUGGCGGUGGUGCUCGAGGGGCCAGUGUUGACAUGCUUGGCCGGGGUCUGUACCGUGGUCCUGGUCAAGGCCAUGGUCUUGGUAGAGUAAGAGGACCCCGUGGAAGCAAUGGAAGUAGUUUGGGCGGUAGUAGACGCAGUAGUUCCAGCUGGCGAGGGAAUUCUCUGCCCCCUGCUGCCCCUCCCCCUCCUCCCCCACCACCUCUUCCUAGUGCUGCAGCAGCAGCUGCAACUUACCCUGGCAUUCUUUUACAUUUCUUGGCUAUGUUGUCUCAUCCAUCAUUACACCAAUACAGUGUGGUUGACCCAGUACCUGCAGAAGCUCCAGACACAGAAAAUUAUGAAGCUUUAUUACAUCUGGCAGAGAGGCUUGGUGAAGCCAAGCCUAGAGGCCUUUUGAAGACCAUGAUUGACCAGCUCCCGUCCUAUAGGUAUACUGGGGAGAAAUCUGAUACAAAACAGACAACUUGUGUUAUUUGCAUGUGUGAUUUUGAGCUUCGUCAGAUGCUACGUGUCUUACCAUGUUUGCACGAGUUUCAUACCAAAUGCGUUGAUAAGUGGUUAAAGGCAAGAUAUCACUGGCAUGGUUUCAUCAGUAUCAUCACCAUAGGUUGUCAAGAAACAGCAGUUAUUCUUCUUCUUCUUGCAUAUAAUAACACUGCAACUAAGGGUCUCACACUCCAUUAGUAUCUCAUGGAUAUGACAUCUGACUGGCUGUUGCCAUGCUGUUGGUAACCUAGACUGUGUCAAACCGGACUUGCCCUAUAUGUCGUGGAGAUGCCAGCGAAUAUCUUAAAGAAAACUCCACUUCGGAAUGAAGCAGGUUAAAAAAAAGUGUUUAAAAGGGAAAUCUGAAUGCUAAAGAAGUUUGAAGAUUAAUACAACUAAGUUGUGAGUCCCAGCCAAUACAGCUCCACUAACUAUGUGGAUGUUCAGCUCACAACAUUUUAGUACACAUACUAGAAGUACCAGACAGAGUACUGUCUAUUUUUUUUACCCUUAUUAUUCCUUAGCCCAAGAGGAUUUAUCUGAAAAUUUAGCAUCAUUAGCCUUGUUUUUGAGAAUAAAUUGGGAUUGCUCUAUUUUGGUUUCGUGAUACACUACAUGAAAAUGACUGGUAAUGUCGAUCAAAAAAGAAUCUAUGCACACAUUUGAAGAUGUGACUGCAAAUGUCGAAUAGGAAUUGGCAGGAGUUUAUAACCAACGUUAUUGCAGGUGUUUGAUGGUUAUGUGCACAUACAAAAGGCAAACAUGAAAGUUUUCUCUGUAUUUCUCAUGGGGCUUAUGGUGACAGGAAUUGUGCUAAUCACAUUAUUUACGAUAACAGAGGAGGCAGAGAUUUUGCUUCUUCCUUUUAAAAACAAAGGCAACUACCACUUUCAAAUUUCUUAGAGCCUUUACCGAGUGAACUUUCUCAACGCCUGAUGUGCAUAUGCGCAGUGUGUUUUAUCUGAUUGGUCACAGGACAGCAGUUAACCUUCCCUUGUUGUUCUGUCCAAGGCUUUGUUUGUUUAGAGCUCCCGGUGGAGUUUAUGUUGUUAGCUGUCCAUUUUCUGUGUUUGCCUUCAUGUGAUGAGGCUGUGUCUGCAACAAUUAGUCCUUUAACCCAUGGUGUCUUAGAUAUUGCCAGGGAGUUGAUCUUCUCAUUUGUGUUGUGCAUGAGGACAUAAUGGAAAACAUUUUCUUAGAAAGACCUAUAUUGUUGUGCUAUGCAUUAUAUUAAUAAACUCCUCAUUGUGAGGCUUAUUUCUUAUACUACUGGCAGAGAAAGUAGGAUCAUGUGUGAUAGUGGUCAAAAGCUUAAGCAUUUCCAUGAAAAAAAAAAAAACAGUUGCAAGCAAUUCCAUUGUUGUUUGUUAUCCAUUUUGGCAUAUGUGGAACACCAUCACUCAGUGCAUGUUUUAUUCAGCAUAAGAUCUUCAGUAUUCCAGUUUGAAGUUUUGAAAUCAUAGAAAUCUGUCUCAAAUUAUAGCAGGAUCAUUUUUCAGAGUUACCUAGAUAAGGUAUAAGCCAUUCUUAAUGCUGUAGUGUUUUUGCUGAAUAGUGGUGAUGGAUGAUUAAUUUUACAAUAUAAUGUUAUACCAGUACGUCCAGUAGCAUAGUAAUGACCAUUAGGCCUGAAACUCCCAAAACAUGUCCACAGAUUUUAGUACCUCCCUAAGCAUGCUAUAUUUGUUUAGAAGAAAAAUAAAAAAAGGAAAAUUAUUAGCAUAUGCAACUUCCCUAAUGCUUGGAAUCUGUACAGGUUAUUAUUGAAACACAUAUGCUCUCAUUUUAUUUACUAGAUCAUAAAUUCCAAACAUGUAUGGUGUGAUAUUAAGUUUUCCUUUCAGUUUUUCAUUUACUUAUUUAUUCAUAUAUUUAUUUUUGUCAAGUGGUCUUCACAAGAGAAUACUGACUUACGAUGAUACCUUCUGAUGCAGCAUGGGACUUGAUAUGUGAAAGAUUCUGCCCAAUCAAAAAUAGUCAGUGAGGAAAAUGUGAGAAGGAUCAUGAGUGAGGUUCCAUGUUGUGGGUUUGGACUGAUUUUUUUCAUUUUGUUAUUGUAAUCUGUUCUAGGACUCAAAGCUCAACAGACUUUUCCCCCCAUUUCAUGACUAAAUGUACUCCUUUUUGCUUCGUAGACAAAUUUAGCUAAUGUAAUCCAUUUUUUAUCAACUAUAAUAUAAGCAUUUCUUGAAUAUUUGCUGUUACCUUCUGUAUUCUCUUGAAUCAUUUUCCUCUUGAUGUUAAUAUUUCUCUCAUUAGCCAAGAAAAGGAACUCACAGCCUCAAUACCUGAAAUCUUGACCUUUGCAUUGCUUAUACUAUAUUUGUUUUCACUUAACUCUAGUUUAGGGAGGUUAUGUAGUUACAUAUCCAAGAUGUUUCACAUCUGAAAAAUACAUGUUUUGUAUAAGAGGUAAAAUAUUAAGGCAGUCAUAUUUGUGAUAAUUCAUGUUUAAGCAUCCAUUUUCUAUCACGAUUCCACACUCCGUUUCCACGUUCCACUGCCUUCCUUGUAUUCACCACAAAUGCUUCCACCUCACACAGUGAACAGUGCUGGCUAGAUGAGACUCGGUUGUUGAUCACUGGGUAUUAUGUUUAUCAAGCAUGACUUCUGAGCUGUUGAUACCAAUGAAUAACCGAAGCUAGUAUCCACUGCCCAGCUGAGUUUUUGUCUUGUAAAUGUUUCACUCUGUCAAGAUGUUAUACCCAGAAUUAAUGAACAGCUGUGAAGAUUUCUUGGCUGCUCUUGUAUUGAAACGUGAUGCAAUGUUUUAAGCAAUGGCUUGGUUAUUUUUCAUACAUUUAAGGGCUGAGAAGUCAGGACGUCCAUCUCCAGCAUAUGUGUAAGUUCACUAAGUGUGUUUUGUACAACCAUGUGCCUCAUUAUUUAGUGUAAUUAGCAGCAACUCUCACAUGUGGGAAUAUGAAUGGUGCUUGUAUCAUAACAUGCUACUUUAGAGAUUGGAAGGAUGGGCAUUUGUAUUGGUUAGUUCCAGAGCAGUAAUUUUAAGAAGCAUCAUGUUUCUAGUAUGAUUAUCAUGAGAGGUCAUAUGUCUGCAGGUUAUUGGGGUAAAUGGCCAAACUCAGUCAAUUUAUUUUUUUCCACUCAAUUUUGCAAUUGGUAAUGGCUCUUCAAUAAGCCUACAGAAUUUCUCUUUCAUGUGAGAGGAUGCUGCAAGUCUCAUUGGUGGUGCCCUUCCUCGCUGUGUUUAGAAUCAGUCAUUUUUGGGCCAGGUGUAGAGCUUGCUUCCCACUGCAUGAUGUUCCCUCGGUUAAUGGAAUUGUCAGGUUUUGAGGUACUUGGAACUUUGUGCAAGAGGUUUUUGGUUGUCACCUGCACCAGUAUGCAAAGGAGCAAAUACCUGUACUCUCAAGGAGGUUUGUUGGUUUCACAGGUUACCCUGGAAGCAGAUACACUUCUUUGAAGUACUGUUUUUGUGUUCUUCAGUUGCAGGUGAUCUUAUAAAAGUCAUGCGCAUAGUGACGUAUCAUGGUAGGAAUACUGGGUGAACGUACAGUAUAUUAGUUAUCAGUGUUUUGUGUGAUGGUAUGCUAUGCUGCUUCAGAGAAUGUGACCCUUAAGUAUUGCUGGAGGGAGAAAGAAGGAAAAUGUAAAGAGAUUUUGCACAUCUGUGGAAGAUCUCUUAAAGGUUGGGAGCUCUAGCUUCUGCCCAUAUCUGAGGAAGAUAUUUUGGACAUGUCCUUCAUAUCUCAUAUAUUGGCUUGAUCUGUAGAUGCCUUGAGCUGCUGACUUGUAGUUCUCCCUUUUACUGUCAAGCUAACCUUUUUACAUGUAUUUCUUAGCACAGCAUUCAAUGGCUCAUUUAUCCUGUCAUAGCCCUCCUUAGCUAGGUAGAGUUUUUGAUUUUUUAUGGUGAACUUGGCCAAAUACUUCACACUUUUCUCUCCAUCUCUUAAGUGAUAGAAAGCAAUACAUUCGUAGAUUUUAGCCUUGUGAGAUAUCUCCAUUAGUAUAGUCUUUUUGUCAUCACUGGAGGGUUUCUGGACAUUUUUACUUUCAUCCUGUCAUUAAUGGCUCUCCCUAUCUUGCCUAAUAGGUGAAAUUAGUUGAUACUUGGCCUUGUAUUCUACCUGUUUUCAAGUAUAUUACAUCUAGUGUACGUAUAUCUGAUUUGCAGGAAAUUCUAAAUAUUGCCAUACUAUUCUUCUUUUGACAUCAUUCCAUCAGUUGUAAUUUAAGAUUUUUCCCCAUGGGUUUUUUAGGCAGCACCCUAUCAGCACCAUUUUUCCUAUUAGGCAUGCAUGGGGAUGCCAGUGUGUGUAUAAAGUAUUAUGGCUUGAUGUUCAAAGCUCACGGUAUUCUACUAUAUAUACUACCUCAGCCUUAAACAUGCUAAGCACAAUAUUAGUAAGUUGGACAUAGUUCUUGAUAAUGCCAGAAUAAUGACCGGGUUUUAAAAGUUUAUAAAAAGAUUAGUAAUCCCAUGCAAAUCAAGGUUGUCUUAGUCUAAAACAUUAUGUGGCAGUAAACUCUGUUGUGCAGUUCAUUUAGUAUCAAAAGUGCUAAAGUUUUACCUGAAAAUAUGCCAUGUCAUGUUAUAGAGUAUUCAACCUACUGAAAAACACCUUCGACAAUGUUAGCAGCAACGUCAAAAAGUGAAAUGGGACUUAACAUGUAAUGUAUGUGUUCAAGGAAUGGCUACAGUCAAAAGACUUUUGAUGGGGCUUCAUAUUUAUAUAAGACUAACAAAAGCCAGUACACUACUAUUCUUUGUUGCUGCUAAUAGAGGUGUAGAAGCCGUUGCCAGGAAUUGCAUUACAGACAGGCAGCAGGGACAGGUAUGCGAUGAUAUGUCAGUUUGUGCAAAUCUGUCAUGAGUCAUAAGUGGAUUUAUUGUAAAUUUUGGCUGUUUGGAGCUAAUAGGUUGUGCCUAAAGCAAUAUUUUCACUUUCCUCAAUAGUGUCUGUAACAACAGUCCAUGGCUUCUGCUGUGCUUGUGUGCUAUCUUUGGGUCAAUUCCUCAAAGUUGUGGUGUGGUCAGUGUGAAGUGGUGGCAUGUGCUGCUGUUUUAUCUGAUCCUUGUUUCAUAUAUAUGUGGUUCUUAGAGUCCUGGAAAGUUUUAUAGACUUGGCUUGUUAAGUGUUCCAGUGCAUUUGCUUUCAUUUGUAGGUAAAUAUGAUGUAUAUACUAUGUAUGUAUAUGUGUGGUGUAUUCCAUAUAUAUGCAUAUGUAUGUAUAAGUGUAUUUAUGAUUUUACUUUUUUGGAUGUUGACCUCAGAUUGAUAGUUGAUUUUUGAUGUACAUAGAUUUUUGGUUCAGAUAAUGAUUUUAGUGAAAUAAUGUUUUGUUAAAUGAGUAUUGUCAAAAGUAGGUGGGCUCUUUCCAUUAGUAUUAAACGGCAAGAAUGCCGCCACUCACACCAGACCCUGGGCCAUAUGUUACCUGCCCUAGAACUCCAGUUUACGGGGCCAGAAUUCUUUUCAACAUAUUGGAGAAUGGUUUGAUUAUUAGUAAAGCUGUAUGAUUCCCUUUUAGUAAUGUUGUAUGAAAAAUUACCAAAAAGUCAGUCAAUGUAUAGAUUUAUCUCAUAUGUCAAAGGAAUUCUGGUAGAUAUUAAAUGAAUAUAAGCCCUGUAAGGAGAUUAUUUUCAACAUAUGAUGAUGAUUACACGUUUAUAUAUAUUUUUUUAAAUGCGAGUCUUUAGUUUUUGUGGUUCUUCUCAGGAAACAUUUCAUAAGAAUUCCUAUAGAUUUUCAAUGAAUGGGUUAUGAGUUUCAGAGGCAGCGCUUGAAAUUGACAUAUUGGGCGUGGUGACAUAUGGGCCUUGUCCGCACUAACCUGCCUUGUAGUACAAAUGUGCAUUUUGUAUUUCACCUAAAUUCACUUGAUUUUUUGAAUAUGCAUAUUAAAUAUAUGUGUGUGUGCGUAUAUUACGUGUGUAUGUAUGUUUGUAUGUAUGCAUGUAGUGUAUAUACACAAUGGUACAUGUAGGUUGAUGGUGUAUUUGCAGAAGUUAUAUAUACAUAUGUAUGUAUGUGUGUGACUCAGUGUAUACAGGUAUAUACUAUAGCAAUAAACCCACAAUUUAAAAAAACAUUAUUGCUGGACUUACACUGAAAUUGGGGUUUUUUGCUCUAGUAUAUAAUAAAGGUGUAUGUAUGUAUGUGUGUGUAUAAUAUUUAUGUGCAUAUAAAUACUUUAGCAACAGACUAUUUUUGUGCAAACUGAUCAUUAAAAUUAAUUCUAGGUGAGAUUUGAACCUUUGACCUUUUGAUGAUGUGUACUACUCCAUUGACUAGUGAGAACAAGAAAAAAUUGGUCUUGAAUUUCAUAUCAUGGCACAGCAUACAUACCCUUGAUUCCUGGUGUGUAGCAUUGUGAGUGGAUAUGUACAAAUUCCACCAUCAGUCUCUGCAAGUGAACUGGUGGUUUAAUAGGUUAGAGCCUUUCCCAUGUAAUGCAAAGGUUGUAAGUUGUUUUAAUCUAAUCCCAGGCAAAAUUUAUAUUAAGUUGCCUUGUGUUUUAUGUGUUUAUUGUGCUUGGUUAC